GACGAACGCUGGCGGCGUGCCUAAUACAUGCAAGUUGAGCGAUUAAGAUUGGUGCUUGCACCAAUUUGAAGAGCAGCGAACGGGUGAGUAACGCGUGGGUAAUCUGCCUUUGAGCGGGGGACAACAUUUGGGAACGAAUGCUAAUACCGCAUAAUAACUUUAAACAUAAGUUUUAUGUUUGAAAGAUGCAAUUGCAUCACUCAAAGAUGAUCCCGCGUUGUAUUAGCUAGUUGGUGAGGUAAAGGCCCACCAAGGCGAUGAUACAUAGCCGACCUGGGAGGGUGAUCGGCCACAUUGGGACUGAGACACGGCCCAAACUCCUACGGGAGGCAGCAGUAGGGAAUCUUCGGCAAUGGACGAAAGUCUGACCGAGCAACGCCGCGUGAGUGAAGAAGGUUUUCGGAUCGUAAAACUCUGUUGGUAGAGAAGAACGUUGGUGAGAGUGGAAAGCUCAUCAAGUGACGGUAACUACACAGAAAGGGACGGCUAACUACGUG
rnacentral:rRNA from 1 species